UGAGAGCCAGGCGGUGCAGUCGGUGGAGAGCAACUGCAGCGCAUGGCUCUAAAAACUGCGGCCGCCUCGCUCUUGUGGUUUUAUCGCCGUCCACUUUUGUAAUACGUCAGAGCAAGUCGGGAUGAAGUCGGACACAAAACUAACCAGCAUGCAUUGUGCGCCGAUCGCCCGUGAUCGAAUCUGCGCAGGCCUGGCUCAUCUCAAACGAACCUAGUGUUGCAACAAAGGACAUACCCUUCAGGGGCAGAAAAAAGAAAAAGAAAGAAAGAGGAAGAGGAGAAAAGACAACAAGAUAAAGGAGCACUGUUAAAGUAUUUUGGAGGAGGCACUGACUCAGUCCAGGGGCAGUCCACCUCCUCAGGCUCAGCCAAGGCUAAUUAAACAGAUCCAUCUCCAUCCUCUGACCCAUCCUCUGUGCCCACUGUCUCCUCUGUGUCUGCUGCAACCUCAGCUCUACCUGGGGCCUGUAUCACGAAGCGAGAUCAACCUUUCCUGGGUUACCCAGACCUAUCCUGGGUUGACUAACCCUAACAAUGGCAAUCAGGAUAAUCGGUAUCACGACGCUGGAUAUCAACUCGGUAACUCAACCCAGGGUUGCUUUAUCAAGAGCCGUGAACGCGCACGCAGCGGACCAAUCACAAUCAUGAGAGAAGCGCAGCGUCA